UACACUCCUACGGGAGGCAGCAGUGGGGAAUAUUGGACAAUGGGCGCAAGCCUGAUCCAGCCAUGCCGCGUGAGUGAUGAAGGCCCUAGGGUUGUAAAGCUCUUUCACCGGUGAAGAUAAUGACGGUAACCGGAGAAGAAGCCCCGGCUAACUUCGUGCCAGCAGCCGCGGUAAUACGAAGGGGGCUAGCGUUGUUCGGAUUUACUGGGCGUAAAGUGCACGUAGGCGGACUAUUAAGUCAGGGGUGAAAUCCCGGGGCUCAACCCCGGAACUGCCUUUGAUACUGGUAGUCUUGAGUUCGAGAGAGGUGAGUGGAAUUCCGAGUGUAGAGGUGAAAUUCGUAGAUAUUCGGAGGAACACCAGUGGCGAAGGCGGCUCACUGGCUCGAUACUGACGCUGAGGUGCGAAAGCGUGGGGAGCAAACAGGAUUAGAAACCCCGGUAGUCCCA
rnacentral:rRNA from 1 species